UAUUUUUAAUUGACUUAAUUGACAUAGACCAAGUCCUCUAGUAAAAUGAGGAUGAUGCAUCGGGAAUAGCC
rnacentral:tRNA from 1 species